GAUUGAAAAAGGCAAACUUAUCGAAAGAUAAGGACGCAAAGCUUCAGAUCUAAGGCGUUUUUGCUAAGAUAGCUGGGUUACCAAU
rnacentral:ncRNA from 1 species